rnacentral:rRNA from 1 species
UACGUAGGGGGCUAGCGUUGUCCGGAUUUAUUGGGCGUAAAGAGCGUGUAGGCGGCCAGGUAGGUCUGGUGUGAAAACUCGAGGCUUAACCUCGAGAUGUCAUCGGAAACCAUCUGGCUAGAGUCCGGAAGAGGAGAGUGGAAUUCCUGGUGUAGCGGUGAAAUGCGCAGAUAUCGGGAAGAACACCCGUGGCGAAGGCGGCUCUCUGGGACGGUACUGACGCUGAGACGCGAAAGCGUGGGGAGCGAACAGG